CCUACGGGUGGCAGCAGUGGGGAAUAUUGCACAAUGGGGGAAACCCUGAUGCAGCAACGCCGCAUGAGUGAAGAAGUAUUUCGGUAUGUAAAGCUCUAUUAGCAGGGAAGAAAAUGACGGUACCUGAGUAAGAAGCCCCUGCCAACUACGUGCCAGCAGCCGCGGUAAUACGUAGGGGGCAAGCGGUAUCCGGAUUUACUGGGUGUAACGGGAGCGUAGGCGGGGAUACAAGGCUGAAGUGAAAGCCCGGGGCUCAACCCCGGGACUGCUUGGGAAACUGUGUUGCUGGAGUGCUGGAGAGGCAAGCGGAAUUCGUAGUGUAGCGGUGAAAUGCGUAGAUAUUAGGAAGAACACCAGUGGCGAAGGCGGCUUGCUGGACAGUAACUGACGUUGAGGCUCGAAAGCGUGGGGAGCAAACAGGAUUAGAUACCCUUGUAGUC
rnacentral:rRNA from 1 species